rnacentral:lncRNA from 1 species
UUCGAACUACCGUUCCAGAGGUUCACUGACCAACGAAAAUAACCUUAGUAGUGAAGUACAAAACCAAAUCCAGAAAGCAGUCCAGGGGUUUAGUCAGAUUGCUUCUUCUCACCGAGCAGCGUCAUACACCAUGUAAAAUGUGCCUCCUUCGUCUUCUCAUUCUGCCAUGAUUGUAAGUUUCCUGAGGUCUCCCCAGCCACGCUUCCUGAACAGCCUGCGGAACGGGAAUAUGGCUUGUGAACCGUACUGUCUGGGGUCCGAAUCCUGGCUCUAGUAUUUCCCAGUUGUGGAGUUUUGGGCAAGCAUGCCCUCAUCCUCCUGAGCCUCAGCAACGACACUUAUCUGACAAGUUAAUCGCCAGACAAUCCAGAUGAUGCUCCUGCUACAAUGACGCAAUGAUACCAACCCGUCUCUCAAGAACGCCCCCAAAAAUUAAAGUUUUCUUUUUCCAAGGUGCCCAUGCCACCCCCUGUGUCACGCCUGAAGUAGUUAUUGAGCCCAGUCCCAAGGCACAAGACCACUUGUGCCAGCAGCCAGCAGCGUGCAUCAGCAAGACAGCAGAAGCAGGAAGACAGCCUGCUGGAAGACACUUACCCUGGCCGGAAGACAUGUACCCCUGAAGAUGGAGAAAGAGGCCUUCCGGGUACUACGUAGCAGUCACGUCAGACCGGGACACUUCCUGUUUAGAGAGGACUAUAAAACUCCGGUCCGGUAAUCACUUGGGGCUGACGCCAUUUUAGGCCUCAUCCCGCCUGCACCCAGGCACUCAUUAAAACAGCGUGUUGCCCCACACUGCCUCGUGUUGUCUGUUGGUGCGCUCUCGGGGUUCAAACCGAUACAAGAACCUUUCAAAUGGUAGUAAGAUUAAAGGUUUUUACUAAGUUAUUAAUAACAAAAAAGGCACAGAUCUUAAAUGUGCAGUUAUGAAUUUUGGCAAUUGUAUACAUUCAUGUAAUCACUACCCACAACAAAAAUAGAAUGUUUCCACCACCACAAAAAGUUUGCAACACCCCUGUACCUCUUUCUAGUGCAUUUCCAAUCAUGUCCUCAUACCUACCUACCCCACAACCAUUUUUUAAUCUCUUCCAGAGCUAACGCUUAAUACAUUGAAUUUUACAUAAUCUUAGGAUAGACUGUCCCACAUAAAGGAGACUAUCUGCAAUAAUUUAUGUUGGAAGAAUAAGAUAUUGAUGUCAAUUAAUACAUUUUGUGUCCUGGUUUAAAAAUGCUCCUACUAUUAAUUAAAAUUUUAAAGACAUUUUCUUGUGAAAGUAUAAAGGGAUACUUUUUUCUAUUUUGAACAUUAUGAGUUCAAAAGUUCAUUCUGAUAGAAAAUUUUAUUUUGUGUGUUUCAACUAUGUAUGGAUGGAAAUAAAACUAGGAAGAAAUAUAGAUAAUUCUUUAUACUUCUUUGCAUUUUCCAAAUUUUAUGCUACAACCAUGUAUUGCUUUUAUUGGUACAAUAAAGCAAUAUCAUCA